rnacentral:rRNA from 1 species
GACGAACGCUGGCGGCGUGCUUAACACAUGCAAGUCGAACGCUGAAGCCCUUUCGGGGGUGGAUGAGUGGCGAACGGGUGAGUAACACGUGGGUAAUCUGCCCUGUACUUCGGGAUAAGCCUUGGAAACGGGGUCUAAUACCGGAUAGGACCUGUCCUCGCAUGGGGGUGGGUGGAAAGUUCCGGCGGUAUGGGAUGAGCCCGCGGCCUAUCAGCUUGUUGGUGGGGUGAUGGCCUACCAAGGCGACGACGGGUAGCCGGCCUGAGAGGGUGGACGGUCACACUGGGACGGGGACACGGCCCAGACUCCUACGGGAGGCAGCAGUGGGGAAUCUUGCGCAAUGGGCGAAAGCCUGACGCAGCAACGCCGCGUGGGGGAUGACGGCCUUCGGGUUGUAAACCUCUUUCGGUAUCGACGAAGGGGUCCUUGUUGGGGCUCUGACGGUAGGUGCAGAAGAAGCACCGGCUAACUACGUGCCAGCCGCCGCAGUAACAC